UAUGUACUCCCCCCGUCCGGAAAUACUUGUCAUCAAAAUGGAUAAAAGGAGAUGUAUCUAGUUGUAUUUUAGUUCUAGAUACAUCCCUUUUUAUCCAUUUUGAUGACAAGUUUUUUCGGACAGAGGGCGUAUAUA
rfam:Triticum aestivum genome assembly, contig: Triticum_aestivum_CS42_TGACv1_scaffold_049831_1BS